GCCGACACUCACACACUGCAAAAUGGUGAAGUACAAUUUGUCACUUUACCUUGGGAAUAUAAUGACAGCGAUCUCAAUCAAGCAGCGCCCGUCUGUCCACAGGAACCUAGAAUGAACAAGUCUCGUCAGAUUUGCCAAAAGCAGUACGACAAGUGGAUGAAGACGCCAGCCUACCUUCUCGGGACAUGUAUUCAGAGUGCCCAGGGGAAAACCGGAACCAAACAGCUCGGCGUUAAACACCAUCAUACCGAACAAGCUGGUCGACAAACUCCACACAUUAGGACUAACUCUCUCCAUAUGCAACUGGAUACUGGACUUCCUCAACAACCGCCCCAGGACCGUCAGACUGGACAAGCACACAUCCUCCGCUCUCACCCUGAGCACUGGUGUCCCCCAGGGCUGUGUAUGCACUUUUCACGCAUGACUGCCAACCCAUCCACAACUCAAACACUAUUGUUAAGUUUGCAGAUGAUACAACAGCCAUGGGCUCAUAACGGACCACAACGAAGCUGCAUCCAGGGAGGGGGUUUGGAACCUGAUAGAGUGGUGCACCAAUAAUAACCUGGUCUUAAAUAUCAAAAAGACCAAAGAGAUUAUCUUGGACUUUAGGACUACCAAAAAGACCACACACAGUCCUAUCCACAUCAACACAGAGGCUGAGAGAGUCCCCAGCUUCAAGUUCCUGGGAGUGACCCUUUCAGAGGACCUCUCCUGGGCUGACAACACCUCAGCAGUGGUGGGUAAGGCACAACAACACCUUUAUUUUCUGAGGAGGCUAAGGAGAGCCAACCUCCCCCAAAAGCUGCUUGUAAACUUUUACAGAUGUACCACAGAGAGCAUCGUAACAAACUGCAUGACAGCCUGGUACAGCAGCUGCACCAAAGCUGAUAAAAAAGCCCUCCAGCGUGCUGUGAAAAUGGCACAAGACACUGUUGGCACAGAAUUGCUGUCACUUGAACAUCUUCACAGCACUCACUGCAUGAGGAGGGCUAAGAACACCAUAAAGGACAUUACACACCCUGGACAUCAUCUGUUUAAGCUCCUUCCAUCAGGCAGGUGCUUCAGAACAAUCCGCACACACACAAACACACUGAAAAACAGCUUCUUCCCAAAAGCUGUAACACCACUGAACUCAAAUAUCUCAUCAGUUUGACAAGACCAAUGUACUGCAUCAUUGGAGCACGUGCAAUAUUUAUAUUUAUAUUAUUUAUUUACUACUUGGAAUAAGUGCAAUAUUUACACUGAACCUCUACUACACCUAUGCUGCUGGCGCCU